rnacentral:rRNA from 1 species
UACGGGGGGGGCUAGCGUUGUUCGGAAUUACUGGGCGUAAAGGGCUCGUAGGUGGCCAACUAAGUCAUGCGUGAAAUCCCUCGGCUUAACCGGGGAACUGCGUCUGAUACUGGAUGGCUUGAAUCCGGGAGAGGGAUGCGGAAUUCCAGGUGUAGCGGUGAAAUGCGUAGAUAUCCGGAGGAACACCAGGGGCGAAGGCGGUCAACUGGUCGAGUUCUGACACUGAGGCGCGACGGCGUGGGGAGCAAACCGG